AACGCACCUUGCGCUCCUUGGUAUUCCGAGGAGCAUGCCUGUUUGAGUGUCAUUAAAUUCUCAACCUCACGCAGUUUUCUGAACUGCGUCGAGGCUUGGAUGUGGGGGUUUGUGCAGGCUGCCUCAGCGCGGUCUGCUCCCCUGAAAUGCAUUAGCUGAGGUUCAUACUGAGCUUCCGUCUAUUGGUGUGAUAAUUAUCUACGCCGUGGACAGGGUUCAGACUCGCUUCUAACCGUCCCUCGGGACAAUACCCAUGACAAUUUGACCUCAAAUCAGGUAGGACUACCCGCUGAACUUAA
rnacentral:misc_RNA from 1 species